AUUGAACGCUGGCGGCAUGCUUUACACAUGCAAGUCGAACGGCAGCGCGGGCUUCGGCCUGGCGGCGAGUGGCGAACGGGUGAGUAAUGCAUCGGAACGUGCCCAGUAGUGGGGGAUAGCCCGGCGAAAGCCGGAUUAAUACCGCAUACGACCUGAGGGUGAAAGCGGGGGACCGAAAGGCCUCGCGCUAUUGGAGCGGCCGAUGUCGGAUUAGCUAGUUGGUGGGGUAAAGGCUUACCAAGGCGACGAUCCGUAGCUGGUCUGAGAGGACGACCAGCCACACUGGGACUGAGACACGGCCCAGACUCCUACGGGAGGCAGCAGUGGGGAAUUUUGGACAAUGGGGGCAACCCUGAUCCAGCCAUGCCGCGUGCGGGAAGAAGGCCUUCGGGUGUAAACCGCUUUUGUUCGGGAAGAAAUCCUCUGGGCUAAUACCCCGGGGGGAUGACGGUACCGGAAGAAUAAGCACCGGCUAACUACGUG
rnacentral:rRNA from 1 species